rnacentral:lncRNA from 10 species
CCACAUCAUCCCAAGUGCUAUCCUGAAGAACAGAGGGUUCACAUAUUCAUUGCAGGGGAACUCCGUGUUAUCCAUAAACUUGCUGCAAGGCAGAUUGUCUUUCUGCAAGGUAAAGUCAGGAAAGGACGGACUUUUGAAGAGUGGAGACUGAGAGGGCUUGAGAUUUGUGUCUUUAAACAUUUACUGGUUGAGGGGUUAAGAUGGCGGAGAGGAGGCAGGACUUGCUUGCAGCUCCCACUUGGAUAGACGGAGCAGCCUGU